CCGGUGUUAAGCCGGAGGAAGGUGGGGAUGACGUCAAGUCCUCAUGGCCUUUAUGCCCAGGGCUACACACGUGCUACAAUGGGCGGUACAAAGAGAAGCAACCUCGCGAGGGUGAGCAAAUCUCAAAAAGCCGUUCUCAGUUCGGAUUGAAGUCUGCAACUCGACUUCAUGAAGUCGGAAUCGCUAGUAAUCGCGGAUCAGCAUGCCGCGGUGAAUACGUUCCCGGGCCUU
rnacentral:rRNA from 1 species